rnacentral:rRNA from 1 species
UACGUAGGUGGCAAGCGUUAUCCGGAUUUAUUGGGCGUAAAGGGAACGCAGGCGGUCUUUUAAGUCUGAUGUGAAAGCCUUCGGCUUAACCGGAGUAGUGCAUUGGAAACUGGGAGACUUGAGUGCAGAAGAGGAGAGUGGAACUCCAUGUGUAGCGGUGAAAUGCGUAGAUAUAUGGAAGAACACCAGUGGCGAAAGCGGCUCUCUGGUCUGUAACUGACGCUGAGGUUCGAAAGCGUGGGUAGCAAGCAGG